rnacentral:rRNA from 1 species
AUUGAACGCUGGCGGCAGGCCUAACACAUGCAAGUCGAGCGGAUGAGAAGAGCUUGCUCUUCGAGUUAGCGGCGGACGGGUGAGUAAUGCCUAGGAAUCUGCCUGGUAGUGGGGGACAACGUUUCGACAGGAACGCUAAUACCGCAUACGUCCUACGGGAGAAAGCAGGGGACCUUCGGGCCUUGCGCUAUCAGAUGAGCCUAGGUCGGAUUAGCUAGUUGGUGAGGUAAUGGCUCACCAAGGCGACGAUCCGUAACUGGUCUGAGAGGAUGAUCAGUCACACUGGAACUGAGACACGGUCCAGACUCCUACGGGAGGCAGCAGUGGGGAAUAUUGGACAAUGGGCGAAAGCCUGAUCCAGCCAUGCCGCGUGUGUGAAGAAGGUCUUCGGAUUGUAAAGCACUUUAAGUUGGGAGGAAGGGCAGUAAGCGAAUACCUUGCUGUUUUGACGUUACCAACAGAAUAAGCACCGGCUAACUCUGUGCCAGCAGCCGCAGUAAAAC